rnacentral:misc_RNA from 1 species
GUAUAUAUAUAUAUAUAUAUACACUCGCCCUUUUUUUUCUGUCUACCCUUGUUUUAAGGUUUAAGAGUAUAACAUGGCUCAAUUGCCUCCCAAAAUACCUACUAUCACUCCAAAUUGGCCUCCAUUUCCCCAGCAAACAAUGUCCAAUUAUCUCUCCAAUACUCACACCACCACCGCCACCGUCACCCCAGCCGUCCUUGACAACCAUCAACCCUCUUGGGUUGAAGAAUUCUUGGACUUCACCUCUGCCAGACGCGGCGUCCAUCGCCGGUCCAUAAGCGAUUCCAUCGCAUUCCUCGGGACAAGUACAACGCCACUGGCGGAAGAUUGCAAUAAGCAGAUCAAUGGCAACAACAACAAUAAUAAUAAUCAUAAUUCCUCGAAUGCAUUCAUCUCCGAAAAUCUUGGAUUCGACAAGCUAGAUGACGAGCAGCUCAUGUCCAUGUUCUCCGACGACAUGUCAUUGUCGAUGCCGCCAUCCUCGCCCAACCCAUCAACGCCGUCCGAUCAGAACAGCAAUAAUGAUGAGAAACCAAUGGUGGGAUUAGAUCAACAAUAUCAUCAUCAACAACAACAACAAAAACAAAAUGAACAGCAACAGCCGGCCAAGGCUGAGCCAGAGGAGGUGGAGAGCUCAUGCAAGCAAGAACCACCAAAACAACAGCCUCCCACAUCUUCAAACGAUGACCCUAUCAUUAUCGAUCCUAAAAGGGUUAAAAGGUAAUUAACCACGUAAUAAAAUGUCUUAAAUGUGAUAAUUCUUGUUAUUGGGAGGUGAUUACUGGUUAUGUAGGGUUGCAUGUGGACAUAUAACCAAUGCAGUGAAUAUAUAUGAAAGUAAAAAGUUGCUAGUGUUAGCGAAUUUUGUUUAUUGGAUAUGUUAUCCACGGUGAAAAUAUUUGUGGUUGCAAAUUCAACGUUAUUUAUCAGAAUCUUGGCAAAUCGCCAAUCUGCACAAAGGUCAAGAGUGAGGAAGUUGCAAUACAUUUCAGAGCUUGAACGUAGUGUCACAACAUUGCAGGUACAUUAAUUAUCUUCUUUUUAAUCGUUUAUACAUUGAAAAUUUCUCAAAGAAAAUUUAUUUUAUGGGAUUGAAUUCUCUGUAUAUUGAUGCUAAUAUAUUUAAUAUGCAUUAUCUUAUAUUUCUAAAGAUUUAAUUGUUAUAAAUUAAAUUGUUUUUAAUGAUAUAUAAAAUUCUUCAUGAAAAUUGAAGACGGAAGUAUCAGCAUUGUCACCGAGAGUAGCAUUUCUAGACCAUCAGAGGUUGAUUCUGAAUGUUGAUAAUAGUGCUUUAAAACAAAGGAUUGCUGCAUUGGCUCAAGACAAGAUUUUCAAAGAUGGUAAGAGAAAUUCAUCAUUGCAAAUUUAAAUAAUCGUUAUUUUCUGUCACCAUGUUUGAUGUUAAGGACUACAUGAUUAUGAACUAUGAUUUCUUGGUCUGACAACUGCUUUCCAUAGCUAGAGACAUUGGAAUUCCAUACAUAAUUAGAUUUGCCAUACUAACUACCUAUUUAUGAUUAAUCUUACUAUUUUUUUUUAGCUCUUGUACAUGUAUCACUAUCAGAAUCAUCACUGAGGUAGCUGAAUUUCAUAAGAAUUCCUUGAAAUCUUCUUUUCCCCAUAUCAUUGUCAACCGUCCUUAAUUGGACAAGCAUCUUUCUUUAACCAAUAGAGAACUGGAAUUCUUGAAUUAUUGACAAAGAGUUGUCUUGAUUUAAAACUAUUAAUUAAUUAAGUUGAAAAUAUAAAUAUGUUAUUAUGUGUAAUGGCAGCUCACCAAGAGGCAUUAAAGAAGGAAAUAGAGAGACUAAGGCAAGUGUAUCAUCAACAAUACCUUAAGAAGAUGAAAAACAGCAGCAACAAUGGAGGCGGAGGAGCAGCAGCAAACCAUGAAACUAUUCAGUGUACGGACAAGAGGAGCUUCUCAUGAGCUGAGAAAACAGAAAAGGAGGGUAGUAGACUAGUGGAUGAGAAGCUACGGUGCCAUUGAUUUGAUCUGGUGCUAACCUGGGAUAUCACGUGAUGUGUCUCUUUAGAGUGGGGCCCCUGACAAGCUUGUGAGAUUGGAAUUAGAGAGUUUGACAUUGGCACGUGGACUGCUAAGAUAGGGAGGUGACAACAACAAUUUUUUUUUUAAUAUUCUUGGGUUGGUUUGAUAUUUU